UACGUAGGGGGCUAGCGUUGUCCGGAAUCAUUGGGCGUAAAGAGCGUGUAGGCGGCCCGGUAAGUCCGCUGUGAAAGUCGGGGGCUCAACCCUCGAAUGCCGGUGGAAACUGUCGGGCUCGAGUGCGGAAGAGGCGAGUGGAAUUCCUGGUGUAGCGGUGAAAUGCGCAGAUAUCAGGAGGAACACCGAUGGCGAAGGCAGGUCUCUGGGCCACUACUGACGCUGAGAAGCGAAAGCAUGGGGAGCGAACAGG
rnacentral:rRNA from 1 species